rnacentral:rRNA from 1 species
CAGCAGCCGCGGGAAUACGUAGGGUGCGAGCGUUAAUCGGAAUUACUGGGCGUAAAGCGUGCGCAGGCGGCUAUGCAAGACAGGUGUGAAAUCCCCGGGCUCAACCUGGGAACUGCAUUUGUGACUGCAUGGCUAGAGUACGGUAGAGGGGGAUGGAAUUCCGCGUGUAGCAGUGAAAUGCGUAGAUAUGCGGAGGAACACCGAUGGCGAAGGCAAUCCCCUGGACCUGUACUGACGCUCAUGCACGAAAGCGUGGGGAGCAAACAGGAUUAGAUACCCGUGUAGUCCCUGUCUCUUAUAC